GACAACGCUGGCGGCGUGCUUAACACAUGCAAGUCGAACGGUGACGAGGAGCUUGCUCCUCCGAUCAGUGGCGAACGGGUGAGUAACACGUGAGUAACCUGCCCCAGACCCUGGGAUAACAGUUGGAAACAGCUGCUAAUACCGGAUACGAGACGGAGAGGCAUCUCUACCGUCUGGAAAGAUUUAUCGGUCUGGGAUGGACUCGCGGCCUAUCAGCUUGUUGGUGAGGUAAAGGCUCACCAAGGCGACGACGGGUAGCCGGCCUGAGAGGGCGACCGGCCACACUGGGACUGAGACACGGCCCAGACUCCUACGGGAGGCAGCAGUGGGGAAUAUUGCACAAUGGGCGAAAGCCUGAUGCAGCGACGCCGCGUGAGGGAUGACGGCCUUCGGGUUGUAAACCUCUUUCAGCAGGGAAGAAGCGAAAGUGACGGUACCUGCAGAAGAAGCACCGGCUAACUACGUG
rnacentral:rRNA from 1 species